CCACACUGAUCUUUUUAAUAGUAAUUUAGUUUUUCAAUGAAUAAGUUAUAUUUCUAAAUUUUACAGCAAUUUUAGCGAGGUUCAUUAAUAUUUAUUGUUUGAAAAUGGCUGCAAAAAUAGUUUUAAAAGACGUGCAAGAAGCGAGCAAGAGAAUUGCACCGUAUAUCCACCGCACGCCUAUAAUGACUUGUUCAACUCUGGAUAGGAUGGCUGGGAAAUCACUGUUCUUUAAAUGUGAAAUAUUUCAAAAGGUUGGCGCGUUUAAGGUGAGAAUUGCA